rnacentral:lncRNA from 1 species
ACUCCCUCCGUCCACGAAAUAAAGGCCUACUUGCCUUUUUGGGAUGUCCACAAAAACAAGGCCUACCUAUUUUUGGUAAGUUUUUAUUCAUAUUUUAAUUGGUGGGUCCCAAUAAUCAAUACACUUUUUCUCCACUCAACUAAUAAAUAAUACACUUUGUGGGUCCCUUUCUCCACUCAAUCAAUAAACAAUACAUUUUGUGGGACCCUUUCUCCACUCAACUAAUAAAAAUACACUUUUUCUUAAAACCCGUGUUUUG